rnacentral:rRNA from 1 species
GACGAACGCUGGUGGCGUGCUUAACACAUGCAAGUCGAACGGGAUUUCGUAAACAGCAGCCUCGGUGGAAGAUUACUAAUGAGAGUGGCGAACGGGUGAGUAACGCGUGAGCAACCUGCCUAUGACAGUGGGAUAGCCUCGGGAAACCGGGAUUAAUACCGCAUAAAAUCGUAGAAACACAUGUUUUAACGGUCAAAGAUUUAUCGGUCAUAGAUGGGCUCGCGUCUGAUUAGCUAGUUGGUGAGAUAACAGCCCACCAAGGCGACGAUCAGUAGCCGGUCUGAGAGGAUGAACGGCCACAUUGGAACUGAGACACGGUCCAAACUCCUACGGGAGGCAGCAGUGGGGAAUAUUGCACAAUGGGGGAAACCCUGAUGCAGCGACGCCGCGUGAACGAAGAAGGUAUUCGUAUCGUAAAGUUCUGUCCUAUGGGAAGAUAAUGACAGUACCAUAGAAGAAAGCUCCGGCUAAAUACGUG